GACUUGCAAUCAAGAAUCUAAUCUCUAUGAUAGCAAAGAAUCAAAAGAUAGUAUCACCCUCUUUAUUAGAUUUGGUUUCAACAGAGAAGAAACUCCGAUAUAUACCAACGGUCUACGAUUCAGGUGAUAGAUGAGUGUCAGGCGCAUGGAAGGCCGGCGGUUGGUGCCCCGAACGGUGGUGGUGGCGCGCGUGAUGGCUAAGGCUAAGGGGAGUGGCGGCUGAAAACUUGGUGACUAGGGUUUUUUUGGCUGCUGAAAAUGUUUAGUUUGUUGGGCUAGGUGGGCUUUAGGUUUUUUAUUAUCUAGGUCAUUUGAUGUGGAUUGGGCCUGCUGUUUGGGUUCUGUAAUUGUUUUAUUUGGUUUUGGGCCGGGCAUAAUUUAGGCUAUACAAUCAUAAUUCUUAUAUUGGUAGAAUCCAUUGCAUAGCUGACUUCCAAGAUGGUAGAUUUCAUUGGGGGGGGGGUGACCAUUUGAUAGUGAUUAGUUAGUGACAAAAGUGUAACCAAAAUUUCAACUUAGCACUGAAUGUUUAAAAAUUCACAAUUUAGUACUUGAAA